CCCUUAGAUGUUCUGGGCUGCACGCGUGCUACAAUGGCGCUUGCAACAAGUCUUGCCAACCCGAUAGGGUGAGCGGAUCUUUGAAGAGGCGUCGUGAUCGGGACAGUUGAUUGCAAUUAUUCGACUCGAACGAGGAAUUCCUUGUAAUCGCGAUUCAUCAUAUCGCGCUGAAUACGUCCCUGCCCUUUGUACACACCGCCCGUCGCUCCUACCGAUUGAGCGAUCCGGUGAAUGUUUUGGACUGGCGUCAGAAGCGGUUCGCUCCUGACACUACGAAAUUUUGCAAACCUUAUCGCUUAGAGGAAGGAAAAGUCGUAACA
rnacentral:rRNA from 1 species